UAAGGUGGCUAUAGCAUUGGGGAUCCACCUCUUCCCAUCCCGAACAGAGCAGUUAAGCCCAAUCACGCCGAUGGUACUACGCAAGUGGGAGAGUAGGUAGCCGCCACUU
rfam:Porphyromonas cangingivalis strain COT-109_OH1386 contig_38, whole genome shotgun sequence.